rnacentral:rRNA from 1 species
UACGUAGGGUGCAAGCGUUAAUCGGAAUUACUGGGCGUAAAGCGUGCGCAGGCGGUUAUGCAAGACAGAUGUGAAAUCCCCGGGCUCAACCUGGGAACUGCAUUUGUGACUGCAUCGCUGGAGUGCGGCAGAGGGGGAUGGAAUUCCGCGUGUAGCAGUGAAAUGCGUAGAUAUCUGGAGGAACACCGGUGGCGAAGGCAGGUCUCUGGGCCACUACUGACGCUGAGAAGCGAAAGCGUGGGGAGCGAACAGG